rnacentral:rRNA from 1 species
CAGUCGCCGCGGUAAUCCGUAGGUGGCAAGCGUUGUCCGGAAUUAUUGGGCGUAAAGGGCUCGCAGGCGGUUUCUUAAGUCUGAUGUGAAAGCCCCCGGCUCAACCGGGGAGGGUCAUUGGAAACUGGGAAACUUGAGUGCAGAAGAGGAGAGUGGAAUUCCACGUGUAGCGGUGAAAUGCGUAGAGAUGUGGAGGAACACCAGUGGCGAAGGCGACUCUCUGGUCUGUAACUGACGCUGAGGAGCGAAAGCGUGGGGAGCGAACAGGAUUAGAUACCCCCGUAGUCCCUGUCUCUUAUAC